rnacentral:lncRNA from 1 species
UAGGGGUUGAAUCUCAAUGCAAAGCUUUUAUUUUCUCAAAAACCCAUUGUCAUAGUAUUGGCCUCCAGCACAUAGGGCAGUGAGCCCCUUUAGGUUGAUACCACUGUUCCCUCCUAUGGAGGAUAUCAUUUAUCUCCAUUGGGCUCUACUAUCUUCAGAGGUUCUUCUUUUGUGGAAUUGCUUUCUGAUUUUUCAAAGUUCCAUGGCAUCAGUUUCUUCUAGUGGUUAAGAGUGGCCAGCAAGUCACCUUCUCAUGAAAGCUGUUUGUACACCCUCCUGGGGGCCAGAGCAAACUCUGCCAAGACACCAGCUAUGUUUUUGAGGCUUCUCUCCCAAGCAGACUCUGCAACCUCUCUGCAAGAAUGUGCAAAGUAUAGCAUGUUUGUGGCAGCCUCACAUACUGAUCCUAGAGCACUUAUAUCUUCCUCAGUGUCAACUUCAAAACAACCUUUCUGUGAAGCUUUGUUAGAUCUAAUACGAUGCAUGUCUCAUCGACAAAGUGAUUCAGAAAAUGCAAGCAGUCAUCUUCAUCACAGUCCUAUGGACUUCCAGGCUGAGGUGACACGCAGGGCAGGACUGACAGGUAGGCCAAAGUUCUGGGUAGAGAAGGUGGCACCAGCCAAAAGGUUUGGAAAUUGAGUGGAGGGCCUAGGACCAUUGCAGCCAGGAACUGAGAAAGCUGGGGUUGGGACUCGGGGAGAGGGAAGCUGUAGACCAUAGACUGUAGUCUGACCGUGAGACUCAGGGGAGGAUGCGGUUGAGAGCAUGGAGAGGGUGUCCUUGGGAGAGGACCUAGGAAAUAAGCCUCCAUGAAAGGGCCCUGGAGCAGGAGCUGAAGCCUAAUUGACAUACCAUCACCCCAUCCCUUCAUGCCCAGCCUCUCUCUGCUGGGAUCACUCCCUGGCAACCAGCUUUUUAUCAAUCCCCUCUACCUGGCUGGCAAAUCCUGAGCUUCACUCCAGGUGGUCACAAUCUGACCCUUGUGACCUCAUGCUUCCCCACCCCCAUUUGUGAAGUUCCAUCACAGGAAGUUCUUCUCCAGUGGCCCCUGAUCCAGGGAGACCCACCCUGCAACAGCCCUUGUCUCCCUCCGCCCUUGGUUCCUUCUCACCCAUCUCGCCACCAUCUGCCCAGGGGAGCCAGAUGUCCCAAAUUUUGGAGAGAAAAUAAUUGAGGCUCAUUUCCAGGACAGAGGGGCGAGCUGGUUCUAAAGAGCCAAGCAGAAAGGCUUCCCAAAAUCGCUAGGUUGGGAGAGGUCAGAGAUGUGUGGCUGCCCCAGCUGUUCUGACUCUGCCCCAGCUUUUGGCUCCACCCACUUAAAGCACCUUCAGAGGUUCCCAUGGCGACAGUAAACAAGUCUCCACUGCCUUGGCCAUGUGCUGUGUUCACCCCACUCCUGAUCUUGUUGGCUGCUCAGGGGCUGACAGCCCAGGUGUGCAGCUGUGAUGAGCAGAAACAGGGAGGAAUGGAGCCCCCAGCAUUGUCAUCACUUCCUCAAGCUGUCUAAAUUCUGCUCAGCAGUCUGUGAAAAUGUUGUGCUGAUGACAUAUGUAAGGACUCUAACUCCCCUCAAACAAUCUGCUCACCUGAAAGGCUCACUCCUGUUGUAAUAAAUGACACAUAAGGUCACAAUUCAACCGGUACCCACCUUGGAUACCACUUCUUAUGUAAACAUCAAACAUACACCCUCUUCCCACACACUAAUGUAUCUUGUAUAUUUGAAAUAAAAGUUAGAGAUAUACAUACAGAGAUUUAAAAUCUAAAACUGUCCCCUCCCCAGUAAGUCAUGUAUCUGUUAAAAGAGUAUCUGGAAACCUCCAAAAGGAAGCCAAGCAUAGACUACUUGGAAGAACUUGAAGGAGCGAGAGCUGACCCCAUCUUUGUACACUGGCAGCACAAGG